UGGGGAAUAUUGCACAAUGGGCGCAAGCCUGAUGCAGCCAUGCCGCGUGUGUGAAGAAGGCCUUCGGGUUGUAAAGCACUUUCAGCGAGGAGGAAGGCAGUCGUGUUAAUAGCACGAUUGAUUGACGUUACUCGCAGAAGAAGCACCGGCUAACUCCGUGCCAGCAGCCGCGGUAAUACGGAGGGUGCAAGCGUUAAUCGGAAUUACUGGGCGUAAAGCGCACGCAGGCGGUCUGUUAAGUCAGAUGUGAAAUCCCCGCGCUUAACGUGGGAACUGCAUUUGAAACUGGCAAGCUAGAGUCUUGUAGAGGGGGGUAGAAUUCCAGGUGUAGCGGUGAAAUGCGUAGAGAUCUGGAGGAAUACCGGUGGCGAAGGCGGCCCCCUGGACAAAGACUGACGCUCAGGUGCGAAAGCGUGGGGAGCAAACA
rnacentral:rRNA from 1 species